UCAGGAGAUGGUGGGCACUAAUUCUUUUGGAGAACUUUGGAGUUGUCCCAGAAAGGACAGAAAACCUCUAGAAGACACUAGAGCUACAUGAAGAACAAGCUACACCCAGUAGCAGUGAGGAGCUCACUAUAAUCAAACACAUGAAACUGGCUGUAAAAUGGAUACAUGCCAAUAGACAUGUGUUCAGGGGCCCUGUGGA